AUUGAACGCUGGCGGCAUGCCUUACACAUGCAAGUCGAACGGCAGCACGGGAGCAAUCCUGGUGGCGAGUGGCGAACGGGUGAGUAAUGUAUCGGAACGUGCCCAGUCGUGGGGGAUAACGUAGCGAAAGCUACGCUAAUACCGCAUACGAUCUAUGGAUGAAAGCGGGGGAUCGCAAGACCUCGCGCGAUUGGAGCGGCCGAUAUCAGAGUAGGUAGUUGGUGGGGUAAAGGCUCACCAAGCCGACGAUCUGUAGCUGGUCUGAGAGGACGACCAGCCACAAUGGGACUGAGACACGGCCCAGACUCCUACGGGAGGCAGCAGUGGGGAAUUUUGGACAAUGGGCGCAAGCCUGAUCCAGCAAUGCCGCGUGCAGGAUGAAGGCCUUCGGGUUGUAAACUGCUUUUGUACGGAGCGAAAAGGCUCUCUCUAAUACAGGGGGCUCAUGACGGUACCGUAAGAAUAAGCACCGGCUAACUACGUGCCAGCCGCCGCCGUAA
rnacentral:rRNA from 1 species